rnacentral:rRNA from 1 species
CCUACGGGAGGCAGCAGUGAGGAAUAUUGGUCAAUGGACGAGAGUCUGAACCAGCCAAGUAGCGUGAAGGAUGACUGCCCUAUGGGUUGUAAACUUCUUUUAUAUGGGAAUAAAAUGUUCCACGUGUGGGAUUUUGUAUGUACCAUAUGAAUAAGGAUCGGCUAACUCCGUGCCAGCAGCCGCGGUAAUACGGAGGAUCCGAGCGUUAUCCGGAUUUAUUGGGUUUAAAGGGAGCGUAGGUGGAUUGUUAAGUCAGUUGUGAAAGUUUGCGGCUCAACCGUAGAAUUGCAGUUGAAACUGGCAGUCUUGAGUACAGUAGAGGUGAGCGGAAUUCGUGGUGUAGCGGUGAAAUGCUUAGAUAUCACGAAGAACGCCGAUUGCGAAGGCAGUUCACUGGACUGCAACUGACACUGAGGCUCGAAAGUGUGGGUAUCAAACAGGAUUAGAUACCCUUGUAGUC